GAAAAAACUUGAGCCCCUGCCCCUGCCCCUGUAUAAUCAUGUGCACGUCUCUGUUCUAGCUCUAAGGUGAAUCUUCACUGCUCAUGUUCUCCUCAGAAGCAGUCACCUCACUCCCCUCAGGUUACUGUACACAUGCACCAACUGCCUGCUUCAGGUUUGGAUGGAGCUUCAUGGUUGUCUUUUGGAGAAAUGACCAGUCAAGUUGUGUUUGAAAUUUGAUUUUUUUCAGGGGCAAAAGGAGCCUCUGCAUUCUUGUCAAAUAUGUAAAUAGCAUGUUUUUGCAGGUGCUAAAAACCAGACUCUGAGUGUGUGUGUGUGUGCGUGUGUGUGUGUGUGUGUGUGUGUGUGUGUGCGUUCAAGUCACAUGACAUAUUUAACCGGAUGUAGCUGCAAGACGGAGCCUCGUUGACUCUCCGUUUCAACUUAUCUCAAAAGUGAGGACCUCAACCUAUAUACCAGUUUUUAGAUUGUGUUGAUAGGCCAAAUAAAACCAGAGUUAUGAUAAAUUAUGUCCGCGAUACUUGUUUUCUGCUUAUUUUGAUCACGUUCGGCGCUCGAUCGCGCUGUAUGAGACAGGAAAACAUAGCAUGCAGACAUUAGCGACAGGUCUUACAGGCGGAAAAGGCUUGCCAAAGGAAAAAAAAAACACACCACAACAUCUCUCCUAUUGGUGGAAAACUUCACCACAACAACCAAUCCAAAAUUAUAUGGUGACUGAUUGACAAGGGGCGGGCGCUUACGUUCUUUCUGCAAUAUGAGAAGGGAGGGAGGGACUCUCAGCAGGGAUGCAGUCUGGGACACGUAGUUGCAAACCUAGCGACUUUGUUGUUAGAUUCAAUGACUUUUCAGACCCCCUAACGACUUUUUUUUAGAAAGAAAGUGACUUUUAUCGACUUCUUCUGGAGUUUAGAGACUCUGACAUGAAGCAGGCUUUCCUUACUGAGGAGUUAGCAACGCUGCUAAGGGUGCAGAGCCACACAUGCGCUCCGAGCUCUGCAUGGGAGACUGAAGCUGACAGAGCUGCAGCAGUUAGCAGGUUUCACCCUCAGAGACCACCAGGGGUUCAUGUUGAGGCAUUUUCAUUUUUUUUUUUUUUUUUUGGCCAUAGACACUGUCAGCACAAUCUGCAGUUACACUAACAAAAAUGCUGCAAAAAACAAAGAAUUAUGGAAAAAUUACACAUGGACUAACAUAGAGGAGGAUCUACACAAGUUUUUUACAUCAUGUUUUACAUCAUGCAUCAUUUACAUCAUGUUUUUUUGUAGUGGCAUAAAUAAAAAGUGACAUUUGUGAGACUAUACAGUGUUUUGUAAAUAAUUUUACAAAGAACACCUGGGCCAUUGCCUGCAUUUUGAUGUAAAUAGAGGUAAAUUACUAUGUUCUUUGUUAAAAAUUUGCAUAUGUUUUGAAGUUUACAAUUUUUAUUUGAAGUUUAAGUUUUAAAAACAGUUCAUCACACAUAUUUGUGGUUUUCACAGUAAAAACGUUACUUUUUUCCACUCGGAUUUUAUGUUUUGUGUGUGAAUUUGGGUCCAAUGUGUAAAUAUAGUAUGUCAAAAUGAUAAAAUAACUGUAAAUUGACACAGGUAAGGUUGUGCUGAAAAAAAUGAUACCAGGCAAGGCAAGGUAAAAAUUUUGUAAGAGGAAAUAUAAAGGUAAAAUCUAAAGUAGUCAAAAACGGCCAAUAGUGACUCACAGACUCCACAGACAAGUCCCUUUGGCGCCACUCAGUGGGCAAAACUACUUUGUCUACUGUAAUGUAUAUUUGGGUCAUCUUUGGCGCACCCUAAAACGUAAACCAUGGGGUGCAGCGUCAUGAUUUUUACAACUUUGAAUGGCCAUGGGGUGUAGAUUGGCCUGAGCAAAUUUGGUGUCAGUGGGACGAAAACCUUAGGAGGAGUUAGCCACAUUCCAAUGUGUGCGAAUCGGCAAAAAAUGCGAAAUAGCCCUUUAACCGUACAUUUUACAGAUACGCGCGCAUUGACUUUUUCGUAGAUCUUAUUGAGAUACACGUGAUUGUCAAAUUUUGUGUCAAUAUGACAAAGCGUACAGGCGUGGCAUUCAACAAUGUGUAUUUUCACCUUAGGGGACAAGAAAAAAUUGACUUUUUUGUCCUGCCAUGGGGGGGCGCUCUUUUGGGGAGUAAAAAUUCCUUCACAAAUGUGUUGAUGGCUGGACAUUGCAUCAUCCUAGAAAACUUGGAGGCCAGUGAGGGCAAAAAUAAAAAGUUAUAAAACUUUUAAGAAUGUGGAUUUUAGGGUUAUUUUUGGCGCCCCCUAGAACCUAAACCAUGGGGUGCAGCAUCAUGAUUUGUACAACUUUGAAUGGCCAUGGAGUGUAGAUUGGCCUGAGCAAAUGUGGUGCCGGUGGACCGAAAGCCUUCGGAGGAGUUAGCGAAAUUCCAAUGUGUGCGGAUCUGCAAAAAAUGCGAAAUAACCCUUUAACCGUACAUUUGACAGAUACGCCCGCACUGACUUUUUUGUAGAUCUUAUUGAGAUACAUGUGUGUGUCAAUUUUUGUGUCAAUAUGACAAAGCGUACAGGCGUGACAGUCAAUAGUGUGAAUUUUCACCUUAGGGGGCGCUAUGGAGCCAUUUUGUAUUUUAUUGUUUGGGCGACUUCAGAAUAUCGAAUUUUUCACCAGGCCCGGUCGUCCUGCCAAAUUUCCUGAGUUUUCGCCAGUGGGAAGUGGGCCAUUUUCCAGUUUAAAGCGGAGGAAAAAUAAUAAUAAUAAUAACACUAGGACCCCGUUGGGGCACUGGCGGGCCCGAGCCGUGUCGCGUCUCCCCCCCCCCCCCCCCAACGUGCUGCCUCCCCGUCCCAUUUGUGUCCUCUGGCCAUCGCCCUCUCUGUUAACACCCAUCACUGCAAAGACCCUUUUCCUUCAUCGCAGUUUUGCUGUUCUUCCUGCCAGUGUGUGUUGCUUUCACUUACACUUGCCACAGCCAGCCUCGUGAGUGCCUAGCCUAUUGGAUAUCACUGUCACCUACACAGGACAGUCAUUACCUUUCUAUUAAUACUUUGUGUUUUAAUUUCACAUUAAUUUCCAUAUUGUAUAAACGACUGGAAAAAACUUGAGCCCCUGCCCCUGUAUAAUCAUGUGCAUGUCUCUGUUCUAGCUCCAAGGUGAAUCUUCACUGCUCAUGUUCUCCUCAGAAGCACUCACCUCACUCCCCUCAGGUUACUGUACACAUGCACCAACUGCCUGCUUCAGGUUUGGAUGGAGCUUCAUGGUUGUCUUUUGGAGAAAUGACCAGUCAAGUUGUGUUUGAAAUUUGAUUUUUUUCAGGGGCAAAAGGAGCCUCUGCAUUCUUGUCAAAUGUGUAAAUAGCAUGUUUUUGCAGGUGCUAAAAACCAGACUCUGAGUGUGUGUGUGUGUGUGUGUGUGUGUGCGUGUGUGUGUGUCUGUGUGUGCGUUCAAGUCACAUGACAUAUUUAACCGGAUGUAGCUGCAAGACGGAGCCUUGUUGACUCUCCGUUUCAACUUAUCUCAAAAGUGAGGACCUCAACCUAUAUACCAGUUUUUAAAUUGUGUUGAUAGGCCAAAUAAAACCAGAGUUAUGAUAAAUUAUGUCCGCGAUACUUGUUUUCUGCUUAUUUUGAUCACGUUCGGCGCUCGAUCGCGCUGUAUGAGACAGGAAAACAUAGCAUGCAGACAUUAGCGACAGGUCUUACAGGCGGAAAAGGCUUGCCAAAAGAAAAAAAAAACACACCACAACAUCUCUCCUAUUGGUGGAAAACUUCACCACAACAACCAAUCCAAAAUUAUAUGGUGACUGAUUGACAAGGGGCGGGCGCUUACGUUCUUCCUGCAACAUGAGAAGGGAGGGAGGGACUCUCAGCAGGGAUGCAGUCUGGGACACGUAGUUGCAAACCUAGCGACUUUGUUGUUAGAUUCAAUGACUUUUCAGACCCCCUAACGACUUUUUUUAGAAAGAAAGGGACUUUUAUCGACUUCUUCUGGAGUUUAGAGACUAUGACAUGAAGCAGGCUUUCCUUACUGAGGAGUUGCAACGCUGCUAAGGGUGCAGAGCCACACAUGCGCUCAGAGCUCUGCAUGGGAGACUGAAGCUGACAGAGCUGCAGCAGUUAGCAGGUUUCACCCUCAGAGACCACCAGGGGUUCAUGUUGAGGCAUUUUAAUUUUUUUUUUUUUUUGUGCCAUAGACACUGUCAGCACAAUCUGCAGUUACACUAACAAAAAUGCUGCAAAAAACAAAGAAUUAUGGAAAAAUUACACAUGGACUGACAUAGAGGAGGAUCUACACAAGUUUUUUACAUCAUGUUUUACAUCAUGCAUCAUUUACAUCAUGUUUUUUUGUAGUGGCAUAAAUAAAAAGUGACAUUUGUGAGACUAUACAGUGUUUUGUAAAUAAUUUUACAAAGAACGCCUGGGCCAUUGCCUGCAUUUUGAUGUAAAUAGAGCUAAAUUACUAUGUUCUUUGUUAAAAAUUUGCAUAUGUUUUGAAGUUUACAAUUUUUAUUUGAAGUUUAAGUUUUAAAAACAGUUCAUCACACAUAUUUGUGGUUUAAUUUCACAUUAAUUUCCAUAUUGUAUAAAUGACUGGAAAAAACUUGAGCCCCUGCCCCUGUAUAAUCAUGUGCACGUCCCUGUUCUAGCUCCAAGGUGAAUCUUCACUGCUCAUGUUCUCCUCAGAAAUAGUCACCUCACUCCCCUCAGGUUACUGUACACAUGCACCAACUAUCUGCUUCAGGUUUGAAAUGGAGCUUCAUGGUUGUCUUUUGGAGAAAUGAACAGUCAAGUUGUGUUUGAAAUUUGAUUUUUUUCAGGGGCAAAAGGAAGCCUCUGCAUUCUUGUCAAAUAUGUAAACAGCAUGUUUUUGCAGGUGCUAAAAAACAGACUCUGAGUGUGUGUGUGUGUCUGUGUGUG